UCAUUACCAGGAUGAUGUCGAUCCUGUUGAGUAUAAGCUCAAAUAGCACAGUCGGGGUAGCGGCGUUGCCUUGAUCCUUGACCGCUGUGCUGCUGAGACAGAUCCAGAAGGAGAAAGGGAAACAGCACGAGUGAGUCUAUAGGACCAGAAAUAUGCCAUCCUGUGGGCAGAAAUGAUGCUGCAGCACAAUGUUGUUUAAUCAGGAGGAAUGUCCCAUUGAGUACACUUACUUGGAGAUUAGAAAUAAAGUAAGUUGGAGAGACCCACUUUGGAAAUGACAACACGAGGAGCUCUGUUGUUCUGCAACCAUCCCAGUUAUCCUGCUACCAAAUAUAGAGUAAUUAAUUCUGGCUUUUCAGAGCAUGAGUCUUUAACUGAGCUAUGAAGAUGGCAUAUUUAAGUGUUGUAAGU